rnacentral:rRNA from 1 species
GUGAGGAAUUUUCCGCAAUGGGCGAAAGCCUGACGGAGCAAUGCCGCGUGAAGGAUGAAGGCCUAUGGGUUGUAAACUUCUUUUCUCAGAAAAGAAUUAUGACGGUAUCUGAGGAAUAAGCAUCGGCUAACUCUGUGCCAGCAGCCGCGGUAAGACAGAGGAUGCAAGCGUUAUCCGGAAUGAUUGGGCGUAAAGCGUCUGUAGGUUGUUUAAAAAGUAUUCUGUCAAAGAUUAGGGCUUAACCCUAGAUAGGCAGAAUAAACUUUUAAGCUAGAGUUUGGUAGAGGCAGAGGGAAUUCCCGGUGGAGCGGUGAAAUGCGUAGAUAUCGGGAGGAACACCAAAGGCGAAGGCACUCUGCUGGGCCAAUACUAACACUGAGAGACGAAAGCGAGGGGAGCAAACAGGAUUAGAAACCCCUGUAGUCC